GCCCAGCCUGGGCCUUCCACAGACCCCAAGGCCAACACAGAGGACAAACCCCCACUGGAGGAGAGGGUACAAAAAGUAAAAGAAAAAUUAGAACAGAAAAAAGCAGAAAAAGAGAGGCUAGAAAAAGAGAAAGAGAAACAAGAGGAAGCAGAAAGAAGAAAACUAGGGAGAGACCUACAGAAACUGAAAGAGUUCCAAAAGGAGAGGGAGAUGAAGGAAACCGUUGAUCAGCUGAAGAAAGAGAAGGCUGAAGAGAAACGACAGAGGGACAAAAUCAAGGAACAGAUAGCCAGAGACAGGGAGGAAAGAGCUGCGCGGUUUAAAAAAGAGACGGAGAAGCAACAGCAGGCGCAGGAAGAGAAGAAACAGGCCCAGCUCGCGGCCAGACAGAAACAAUCCUCGGAGGAGGAGGCCAAGAAAAUGGAGACAGCCAGAAUUCAAGUGCGACUCCCGGAUGGAACUUCUCUAUUGAAUUCAUUCCCCUCCUCCGACACUCUCCAGUGUGUGCAUUCAGUUGUCUCUCAGCAUGUCGGCUCUGAUGUGACCCUAUCCACAGUCUAUCCCAAGAGAACUUUCACCACAGACGACCUCUCCCAGACCUUGUUGUCUCUAAAUCUGGCCCCUUCUGCAGUACUGAUAGCUGUACCGGGAAAACCAUCUGUGAUAUCCAAGCAAGGAAACAAUGGGGGUGGAAUCCUGGCCUUGUUUUUUGCUCCGUUCUUAUUUCUGUGGAACAUGAUCCGUGUAUUCUUGUUUGGUGACAAAAGAUCAUCCCAGCCAAAGCGCGAGGACACUCCAGACGCAACAGAAACUCCCGAUGAAUCUCAGUCCACACGACGGAGGGACAGACCCCAGACAGCCUACCAAAGGCGACCCAUCAGUCGGGGUGACGGGAAUGUUCGACGUUUGGCAGACAUGAGGGAUGAUGACGACGAAAAUGCCACUUGGAAUGGGAACUCUACCCAGCAAAUGUAACAACCAAUCAAUGAGAGGCUUACAAAAUGUAUUCCACAUUAACCAACCAGAAAGUGGUUAAUGCAAGCUUUUGGACCAACAAUUUUCAUGUUUCAUAGUGGAAGUGUGAGAUUUUGUAAUUAUCUCCCUAACAAAUUAUCUUCAGUAAACACACAGAAGAUAACUGUAUUCAGAUAAUGUUUCUGAACCUUUGCUUACAUAUUUUUAAGUGUUUAGUUUUUUUUUUUUGUUUAAACAGUUGGUAAUUUAAUUUAUGGUGUCUUUUGUGAUAAUAAAAGAUGACAAUGU
rnacentral:misc_RNA from 1 species